ACGGCUCAGUAACACGUGGACAACCUACCCUGAGGUCGGGGAUAAACCCGGGAAACUGGGUAUAAUACCCGAUAGAUCUAGAUCGCUGGAAUGCUUUUAGGUCUAAAGUUCCGACGCCUCAGGAUGGGUCUGCGGCCUAUCAGGGUAGUAGUGGGUGUAAAGUACCUACUAGCCCACGACGGGUACGGGUUGUGAGAGCAAGAGCCCGGAGAUGGAUUCUGAGACACGAAUCCAGGCCCUACGGGGUGCAGCAGGCGCGAAACCUUUACAAUGCUGGCAACAGCGAUAAGGGGACCUCGAGUGCUACGAUACAAUCGUGGCUGUCUAGUUGCCUAAAAAGCAAUUGAUAGCAAGGGCCGGGCAAGACCGGUGCCAGCCGCCGCGGUAACACCGGCGGCUCGAGUGGUAACCGCUAUUAUUGGGUCUAAAGGGUCUGUAGCCGGCUUAGUUAGUCUCUUGAGAAAUCUGGCCGCUCAACGGUCAGGCGUUCAGGGGAUACUGCUAAAGCUCGAGACCGGGAGAGGUGAGAGGUACUUCAGGGGUAGGGGUGAAAUCUUGUAAUCCUUGAAGGACCACCAGUGGCGAAGGCGUCUCACCAGAACGGAUCUGACGGCAAGGGACGAAGGCUAGGGACACGAACCGGAUUAGAUACCCGGGUAGUCCUAGCCGUAAACGAUACUCGCUAGGUGUCGGCCGCGGUGCGACCGUGGUCGGUGCCGUAGGGAAGCCGUGAAGCGAGCCACCUGGGAAGUACGGCCGCAAGGCUGAAACUUAAAGGAAUUGGCGGGGGAGCAC
rnacentral:rRNA from 1 species